AAACAAUGAAAGCAACACCAUAGCAACUUGAUUCAGAAAUCAACUCUGUAAAACAUCACCUCAUUCAAAAGCUAAAUUCUACAACCAGAUGAGAAACUAAUUUAUUGUGAAAUAUGAAAAAGGAAAGAAAAAUCAUCUCUGUGCCACAAUCAGCAUCUCCAAAACUACAGCUUCUUUUCUUCAUUGGCCUCUUCAUCAGUUAUGUUUUAUUCUGCUGUUCAAACUAUCACUGCACUCUCCCUUGGUUGAAGACAAGGCAUACUGUAUAACCUACUACAUACAAAGCACGGCUGAAAUGGAGAAACUAAUAUGAAAGUAGAAGGUCAAGAUGUGUCAAGUGUCUUCCAGCAAUUGUAAGACUGUAAGACUAGCUCGCCAGUCUUUUCUAUACAAGCAGAACAUUGGAAUGUCUUUUUAAACUGCAA